rnacentral:misc_RNA from 1 species
UCCCCGUUACCGGGGCAGUCUAGCUAGAGAAAUCCAACUAACUAAAAGGGUUGCGCUCGUUGAAGGACUUAACCUAACAUCUCACGACACGAGCUGACGACGGCCAUGCAGCACCUGUCUCUACGGCCCGAAGGCACUCCCUACUUUCGAAGGGAUUAGUAGGAUGUCAAGUCCUGGUAAGGUUCUUCGUUUACCAUCGAAUUAAACAACACGCUCCACCGCUUGUGCGGGUCCCCGUCAAUUCCUUUAUGUUUUAGUCUUGCGACCGUACUCCACAGGCGGGAUGCUUAACGCGUUAGCUUCGCUACUACCAGGGUCGAUACUGAUAACAGCUAGCAUCCAUCGUUUACGGCGUGGACUAC